UGGCAGACCAUUGCAUUUUUAUCUUCUACUGAAUCAUCCUCAGCUUAAUAAAAAGUCAUGCUGUUGCUGUUCACUACACACAAACUUGAACACCUGUUGAUAUCCUUAUUAACGCGGCUAUUUUAAGGGUCUUACAGCUCACAGGGAACUGUUUUCUCAUCAAGUUGGACUCAGCAUAACCAAGAGACAAACAUGAGUUUUCUCUCAUCUUCUUCAUUCAUCCUGCCUAAAAUCUGAAAGAGACAAGCUAUUUUUUCUAUUGAAGUAAUGGCAUUGAAAUCACUGGAUCCAGUGGGAGCAAGUAUGGGCCAAAUGCGUCUGAGUUUGGAUUAAAAAAAAUAUAAGUCAAAUCAUUAAUAUGUUUUAACAUACUCUGGAGUAAAGCAUAUAUCCUACAUACCAUCAGAAAUCACCAUGGUAGUUCCUUACUGAUUUCCUUGCUGGGUUGCAUAUUAGUGGUUUUCUAGCCUGUCUUAAUAUAGAGAAAAUGAAUAAUGUUUCAAGACUAUUUUAAGACAACACGUCCUUUAUUUGUGGUUUUUAUGGAAGAUAGAAGCACCCAGAAGCUAAUUUACUUUUGU